rnacentral:tRNA from 1 species
GGAGAGGUGGCAGAGUGGUCGAUUGUACCUGACUCGAAAUCAGGCGUACGUGCAAGCGUACCGAGGGUUCGAAUCCCUCCCUCUCCG